UUCUAGCCCCGAUAGGAACGGCAUCCUUUUUCUUUUUAGCUUUGGACAGGCGCAGCCUGAGCGUUGGAAAAAGAAAAAGAUAUAGUGGAUAGCGGGUGUGGAU
rnacentral:sRNA from 1 species